rnacentral:rRNA from 1 species
AGAAUCAACGCUGGCGGCGUGCCUAACACAUGCAAGUCGAACGAGAAAGGGUAGCAAUACCUGAGUAAAGUGGCGCACGGGUGAGUAACACGUGACUAACCUACCCUGGAGUGGGGGAUAACUGAGGGAAACCUUAGCUAAUACCGCAUAAUACCUACGGGUCAAAGGAGCAAUUCGCUUCAGGAGGGGGUCGCGGCCGAUUAGUUAGUUGGCGGGGUAAUGGCCCACCAAGACGAUGAUCGGUAUCCGGCCUGAGAGGGCGCACGGACACACUGGAACUGAAACACGGUCCAGACUCCUACGGGAGGCAGCAGUGGGGAAUUUUGCGCAAUGGGGGAAACCCUGACGCAGCAACGCCGCGUGGAGGAUGAAGUCCUUCGGGACGUAAACUCCUUUCGAUCGGGACGAUUAUGACGGUACCAGAAGAAGAAGCCCGGCUAACUUCGCGCCAGCAGCCGC